GAUGAACGCUGGCGGCGUGCUUAACACAUGCCAGUCGAACGGAAAGGCCCCUCCUUGGUGGGGUGCUCGAGUGGCGAACGGGUGAGUAACACGUGGGUAACCUGCCCUUCACUUUGGGAUAACUCCAGGAAACUGGGUCUAAUACCGGAUAGGAGCAUCUGCUGCAUGCUGUGGUUGGGAGUGUUUCGGCGGGGGGGGAUGUCCUCGCGGCUUAUCAGCUUGUUGGUGGGGUAGUGGCUUACCAAGGCGUUGACGGGUAGCCGGCCUGAGAGGGUGAACGGCCACAUUGGGACUGAGAUACGGCCCAGACUCCUACGGGAGGCAGCAGUGGGGAAUAUUGCACAAUGGGCGGAAGCCUGAUGCAGCAACGCCGCGUGCGGGAUGACGGCCUUCGGGUUGUAAACCGCUUUCGCCAGGGACGAAGCGCAAGUGACGGUAAUGGGUGAAGAAGCACCGGCUAACUACGUG
rnacentral:rRNA from 1 species